GCCGCCAUGGUGAAAUCGGUAGACACGCU
rnacentral:ncRNA from 8 species